AAAAAAAAGGAUUUAGCAAUUUGGUUUAACUACCGCGUUAUCAUUCUAUCACUCUCUUAUUUCCUUGGCCACUCAUCUUUCAAGACUCGUCGACUGUUCGUGCUUCGGAGACGAAUCAGGAUUAGUUGCUUGCCAGGUUAUCACGUGGAUUAGCAAGCAGGUUAUGAUUUGAGAAAGUCAGCUGAUCUCCAUUUCUUUACUUUCCUCGGAGGUUCCAUUUAUUUUAAUAAAGUUAUUAAACUGUUUUAUUCUUAGACCGCAGUAGUAACUAGAAGUCGUAUUUGCCUAAUAAUUGUUAUCAAAAUUAUUCUACUAAUGUAAUUGUUUUGGCUUAAUAUAAUAACUUGGGUUAUUAAAUA